CGAAUGCUGACAUAAGUAACGAUAAAGCGGGUGAAAAGCCCGCUCGCCGGAAGACCAAGGGUUCCUGUCCAACGUUAAUCGGGGCAGGGUGAGUCGACCCCUAAGGCGAGGCCGAAAGGCGUAGUCGAUGGGAAACAGGUUAAUAUUCCUGUACUUGGUGUUACUGCGAAGGGGGGACGGAGAAGGCUAUGUUGGCCGGGCGACGGUUGUCCCGGUUUAAGCGUGUAGGCUGGUUUUCCAGGCAAAUCCGGAAAAUCAAGGCUGAGGCGUGAUGACGAGGCACUACGGUGCUGAAGCAACAAAUGCCCUGCUUCCAGGAAAAGCCUCUAAGCAUCAGGUAACAUCAAAUCGUACCCCAAACCGACACAGGUGGUCAGGUAGAGAAUACCAAGGCGCUUGAGAGAACUCGGGUGAAGGAACUAGGCAAAAUGGUGCCGUAACUUCGGGAGAAGGCACGCUGAUAUGUAGGUGAAGCGACUUGCUCGUGGAGCUGAAAUCAGUCGAAGAUACCAGCUGGCUGCAACUGUUUAUUAAAAACACAGCACUGUGCAAACACGAAAGUGGACGUAUACGGUGUGACGCCUGCCCGGUGCCGGAAGGUUAAUUGAUGGGGUCAGCGCAAGCGAAGCUCUUGAUCGAAGCCCCGGUAAACGGCGGCCGUAACUAUAACGGUCCUAAGGUAGCGAAAUUCCUUGUCGGGUAAGUUCCGACCUGCACGAAUGGCGUAAUGAUGGCCAGGCUGUCUCCACCCGAGACUCAGUGAAAUUGAACUCGCUGUGAAGAUGCAGUGUACCCGCGGCAAGACGGAAAGACCCCGUGAACCUUUACUAUAGCUUGACACUGAACAUUGAGCCUUGAUGUGUAGGAUAGGUGGGAGGCUUUGAAGUGUGGACGCCAGUCUGCAUGGAGCCGACCUUGAAAUACCACCCUUUAAUGUUUGAUGUUCUAACGUUGACCCGUGAUCCGGGUUGCGGACAGUGUCUGGUGGGUAGUUUGACUGGGGCGGUCUCCUCCUAAAGAGUAACGGAGGAGCACGAAGGUUGGCUAAUCCUGGUCGGACAUCAGGAGGUUAGUGCAAUGGCAUAAGCCAGCUUGACUGCGAGCGUGACGGCGCGAGCAGGUGCGAAAGCAGGUCAUAGUGAUCCGGUGGUUCUGAAUGGAAGGGCCAUCGCUCAACGGAUAAAAGGUACUCCGGGGAUAACAGGCUGAUACCGCCCAAGAGUUCAUAUCGACGGCGGUGUUUGGCACCUCGAUGUCGGCUCAUCACAUCCUGGGGCUGAAGUAGGUCCCAAGGGUAUGGCUGUUCGCCAUUUAAAGUGGUACGCGAGCUGGGUUUAGAACGUCGUGAGACAGUUCGGUCCCUAUCUGCCGUGGGCGCUGGAGAACUGAGGGGGGCUGCUCCUAGUACGAGAGGACCGGAGUGGACGCAUCACUGGUGUUCGGGUUGUCAUGCCAAUGGCACUGCCCGGUAGCUAAAUGCGGAAGAGAUAAGUGCUGAAAGCAUCUAAGCACGAAACUUGCC
rnacentral:rRNA from 1 species